GUGGCUGGUUGGCUAAUAGAUGGCGCAGCGGGUCAAUUAGCUUGAGCGAGACAGCGGGUGUUUCUGGGAGUUGUGGUCCGCAGGGCUGCCUCGCUUCCGGGUGGGAGCUGCUGUUGCCGCGGUGGGAAGACGCAGAGCUUUCAGGCCAGCCCCGCGCGGCUCACGGCUUUUGUGGCUGGUGGCUGGUGGCUGCUGGUUGAGAGGCCCCGGAAGGACUUCUACUCCUCCGUAGGCUGGAGGGCAUUAGGAGGUCGCAGGUGCUGAGCUGCCGGGGCCUUUGGGCUGUGCUGAAGGGGAAAAGCGCAGCCACUGUCGGGAGUGUGUGCUGUGGAGGCAGUUGCCGCGGUGAUGUUCGCUCCGCCUGGCCCCUGCCGGGGAUUCAGCCAACCAACCCUCAACAGCCGGCGGCGGCUCAGUCUCUGGCCCGGCGCGGUGCUGAGCACCACUGAGCCCUCAUCUUAGGGCACCGAGGCCCGGACUCCUGCAGCCGCAUGUCCAGGCCCCUCCUGCCUUAGCACGGAGCUCCCUUGACUGCUCCAAACAGCCCAGACUGGCGCCUUUUUGGGAUAAAUUAAAACGGGGCCAAUCCGUUGCCAGCGAUUGGCUAACGAUGGGUACACGACCUAGUACGGGCCAGGGAGAAGUAAGCGAGGUCUGUUGAGGCAGAGUUUCGGGAAAGAUCUUCUAGUUAAAAAGGGAGUUGGGUGAGUGGGGGCUGUUUUCUUCCUGUUGUCCUUGCCCAGUGUAAGUUUCCUGGAGCUGCAGCAGCCUUUUUGUCACCAUGAGGGCAGCUGGUGGGAACCCCAGGAAAGCAGGAAAUCACCUAGAGCCGGAACAGCCUGAGCCUCUGAACCAACCCACAGCUGACUACCCGUCACUUUGUCGUGUCUCUGUGAUUUGAGUCCAUCAUUCUGCUGCAGUUGAAGACGAAAUCUUGGUGUAAUGUAAUUUGGCUUUCAUCUCUCUCCUGAUUUCUCAGAAGAUCUUACAAAAAAAUCAUCCUGCCAUUGAAACCCAAAGUGGUCCAUCCAGUCUGGAGGCCGUGGGAACCAUGAAUCCUUUCAGAGUUUGAAGCAAAUGCAAAAUUGUUCACGUCAUCCUGGGUUAUUUUAUUGUCUCACCACCUUCCUGAAAUGGAACUCGAACUUCAUUUAGAGUAGCUCUCGGGCACGCUGGCAGGGGGGCUCCCAGAGCUGAGUGAGCAAGGGGUGCCAUGAGAAGCAGGCGUUCUGCCCCGACCGGCCCACCUCACUCUCGGCAGAGGGAGGCAUUUGUGGUGGGCCAAUGUGCAUGCAGCCCGAGGCUGGACAACUCCAGAAGAAACUCAAGAACACAAAUUUAGAUGAUUAACCAAAAUAGUCUGUUCCAUCUUCCUGCACUGGGGGGAAAUGCCUCUUGUAUUUUAGAGGAGAGAGAGAAUGGGAAGGAAGCCACUGCAGGUGUGGCAGACAUUGGAGGACUCAGGUCAAGUAUAAAACUGCUGUGGCCACGGAUUUAACUAAGUUUCAACCAAGUAGCUUUCCAGGUUGGGUGACAUCUGCUACAUGCUAGAACUAGCUGUGGAGUCUGUGCUUUGGCCCCAGUUUGGAGCCCAGAACUAUUAGCGUGUAUCACCAAGUUGUGUUUGUAAGGGUUGUGUGUAUUUUUAGUGCUUCCCAGACCUUUCUACCCUGAUCGCCUUCCACAGGUAGAAGCGGCUGACUGUACCUGCUACCUGGGGCCACUCCAGAGGUCCCCUCUGGGAGGUAAUGCCUCUGUGCACAAGCAGCCUGUGCAAGAAUGUCAAGGUCAAUGGAAGAGAGGGCACACGCCCUCCAAGGAGGUGGUGUGGGUUGGGACUCAGUGUCCUGGAAGGGACCUCCUUCAGGCGAGAGCUCUUGGAGUCAGACAGCACGAAAGAACCUGAAUAUAGAACUUCUCAGGUCUCUAAGGAAUUACAUCUGAUUCUAUAAGAAUCAGAAGUUUGUUGGCCAGGUACAGUGGCUCACAUCUGUAAUCCCAGCACUUGGAGAGGCUGAGGCAGGAAGAUCACUUGAGCUCAGGAGUUGGAGACCAGCCUGGGCAAUAUAGUGAGACCUCAUCUCUCUUAAAAAAAAAAAAAAAAGUUUGUGACACCAAGGAAAGCUCAUCUGGGUCCUUAGUUUCUUAGAUAUGAAACAUGAACUACAAAUAACAGCAGAAAAUUAACUCCAACUGGACUUGGAGGAUAAAUACACAUAUGCACACACAUGCACACAAUACUAUUUACAUAUAAAACAUUGUGACUCAAACGGAGAGAAAAUGCAGCUGCAUGUAAACAUCUGUGGUGAUUAGGUAUACCCACUCAGUGACCAACAAAUUGCAUUCAGUGUGUCUGGGGUGAUCGCCUCAGGAACUGGGCCUUCAGUUAGUAACGAUGCUUUGGAAGCGUGUAUGCCAGUCAUAACGUGGAGGGCUUUUCCUCUCUCCCUCCCUGUGUUAACAUGCUUUCAUAUGGCUAGUAUAGUCUUGAUAAAUCUUGCAGGAUCUCAAAUAGCCUAGUGAAACGGGAAGAGAAGAAGGUGUUAAAAGUUUGCAGGUCAGGGGAAAAGCACGUGUUUUGGGUGAGUCGGCGGAGCCUCCACAAAUACAGCAUCGGUUUGUGUGAAUUCUCAGCUGUGGUUUCUCAGGUUGAAUAAAGCCACUCAACAAAGGCUGCUGUUUCUCCAGCCUGAAGAGGCACUUAUGCCACCUACAGCCUGGAAUCUGGCACUACAAUUCGCGCCCAACUCCCUGGCUCAUCCUAGGUGGGAGAUUAGAAUCUAUGCAGGGAAUGGAAAAUGGGCAGGCAUUCCAGGGUGAGUUUUUCUUCCCCCCCGAUAAAUUGUAAACAAACAAUUACAAACAUGUUUGAAAAUUGUUUUAACUAGUUUUUAGAGAUUGCAAUCGCUGGGUUGGGAUUUAUGAACUACAUUUCUUAUAAAUACAUUUCUUCUAGAGAACUUCUUGUGGGACGCAAUCACUUUCCCCCUCUGUAUAGCAGCCCCACAGCUCAACCCAAAGCUAGGUUAGGCUACUGGGUACACACUUACCCAGAUAGUCUUAGCUUCUUAGGGGAAACCAGAUUACUGUGAAGCCAUCAGAUAAGACAUACUUCUGAAAAGAAAUGGAAUGUAUUUUUAUUGGCAGAGUCAAGAUGAAGUAUGUUUUGAAAUCUGUUUUACAAAUAAACUUACACAUAAAUUGUC